AGAAUAUGUAGCUCAAAAGCGCUCUUUCCAACAUCUAGAAAUCCGACGAGAACUCGAUUUGAACUUCUCGCUGGCGCCAUCUAUCUACUCGCUGCCCCAAGCGUGCCACUCAAUCUCAUUUCUCCAUUGCGCAAACUCAACUCAUCCUGGAGCGAAAACACCACUCUCAUUCAGCCCAGUGGAGGCAGAGACCAAGCAGGAAAACAGAGAAGCAGCUGGACAGAGUUGGAACUUCACUUCGAAGAUGAAAUAGGUGGUCGCAGGAUGUAGGAGCCCAAAGGUGGAAGCCACAUUCUGGGGAAGCAAGAUAUUUGUGGGAGCUCUGCCUUUAAUGGCGCAUAAUGUGCAUAAAAAUAUGAGUAUUCGU
ensembl:ncRNA lncRNA:CR45006 long non-coding RNA:CR45006